rnacentral:rRNA from 1 species
GGUCUGAGAGGAUGAUCAGUCACACUGGAACUGAGACACGGUCCAGACUCCUACGGGAGGCAGCAGUGGGGAAUAUUGGACAAUGGGCGAAAGCCUGAUCCAGCCAUGCCGCGUGUGUGAAGAAGGUCUUCGGAUUGUAAAGCACUUUAAGUUGGGAGGAAGGGUACUUACCUAAUACGUGAGUAUUUUGACGUUACCGACAGAAUAAGCACCGGCUAACUCUGUGCCAGCAGCCGCGGUAAUACAGAGGGUGCAAGCGUUAAUCGGAAUUACUGGGCGUAAAGCGCGCGUAGGUGGUUUGUUAAGUUGGAUGUGAAAGCCCCGGGCUCAACCUGGGAACUGCAUCCAAAACUG